UACGUAGGCAGCGAGCGUUGUUCGGAAUUACUGGGCGUAAAGAGUGUGUAGGCGGUGCUCCCAGUCUGUUGUGAAAUCUCCCGGCUUAACUGGGAGGGUGCAGCGGAAACUAGAGUGCUAGAGGGUGGGAGAGGUAAGCGGAAUUCCUGGUGUAGCGGUGAAAUGCGUAGAUAUCGGGAGGAACACCUGCGGUGUAGACGGCUUUCUGGACCAUUGUUGACGCUGAGACACGAAAGCGUGGGUAGCAAACAGG
rnacentral:rRNA from 1 species